ACAGGGAUUGCCCCAGUAACGGCGAGUGAAGCGGCAACAGCUCAAAUUUGAAAUCUGGCGCAAGCCCGAGUUGUAAUUUGCAGAGGAUGCUUCAGGGCAGCGACCGGUCUAAGUUCCUUGGAACAGGACGUCGUAGAGGGUGAGAAUCCCGUAUGCGACCGGUUGGCACCCGUCACGUAGCUCCUUCGACGAGUCGAGUUGUUUGGGAAUGCAGCUCUAAAUGGGAGGUAAAUUUCUUCUAAAGCUAAAUACCGGCCAGAGACCGAUAGCGCACAAGUAGAGUGAUCGAAAGAUGAAAAGCACUUUGGAAAGAGAGUUAAAAAGCACGUGAAAUUGUUGAAAGGGAAGCGCAUGCAACCAGACUUGUCGGCGGUGUUCCGCCGGUCUUCUGACCGUCCCACUCGCCGCCGGCAGGCCAGCAUCAUCUGGGCGCGCCGGACAAAGGCGCGGGGAAUGUAGCUCCUCGGAGUGUUAUAGCCCCGCGCACAAUACGGCGCCGCUCGGGUGAGGUCCGCGCUUCGGCUAGGAUGCUGGCGUAAUGGUUGUCUGCGGCCCGUCUUGAAACACGGACCAAGGAGUCUAACAUCUAUGCGAGUGUUCGGGUGUCAAACCCCUACGCGGAAUGAAAGUGAACGGAGGUGGGAAGCGCAAGCUGCACCACCAACCGAUCCUGAUGUCUUCGGAUGGAUUUGAGUAAGAGCAUAGCUGUUGGGACCCGAAAGAUGGUGAACUAUGCCUGAAUAGGGUGAAGCCAGAGGAAACUCUGGUGGAGGCUCGCAGCGGUUCUGACGUGCAAAUCGAUCGUCAAAUUUGGGUAUAGGGGCGAAAGACUAAUCGAA
rnacentral:rRNA from 1 species